AUGGCUAUCAAGAGAAAGGGUCAAUCGAAAGCCCGAAAUCUGGCGCGUGCAAAAACCAAGCUCCGGCCCACCAGAAGCUGGGGCAACCGCAGAGUGUUACUGGCGUUGGGUCACUGCGGCAAGAAUGACUUGAAGCCCAAGGCGUGGGAGCAGGAGGCUACGACAACUUUGGCUGAGAGUGAUAGGGAAGGCAGAAUGGGGGCGAGCAGGGGCAAGAGGAUCCACGGAACUCUAUCCCCAAAGAUGCCACAAUUCUUGGCUUUGGAAGAUGUGGAGUUGGGAGAGUCAGAUGAGAGGGAGGAUAUUUCUGAAGAUGAACAAGCAAGAAGGCAUGUUACUCUGGCUUUUGUUGAGAAAGAUGCCAUGGUAUCCUUGAAGAAAGAUAUUGGGGUAUCCUUGAAGAACUGUUCUCAGCGUCAUUAUAAGAAGAAGAAGAAAAAAAGGUUAGAAAUGGAGGUUGGAAAGUGGGAGAGGGGAGGGUACACCGAGGAGACAAGAGCCUUAGGAACACAGAGAACUAGGGAGGCCCUGUGA
rnacentral:lncRNA from 1 species